GAUGAACGCUGGCGGCGUGCCUAAUACAUGCAAGUCGAGCGAAGCGGGGACGGGUGAGUAACACGUGGAUAACCUCCUAUAGACUGGGGAAACCUCGGGAAACCGGGGCUAAAACGGGAACGUAUAGAUGGAUCCGCGCUGCAUUAGGUAGUUGGUAAGGUAAAGGCUUACCAAGGCAACGAUGCAUAGCCGACCUGAGAGGAUGAUCGGCCAAACUGGAACUGAGACACGGUCCAGACUCCUACGGGAGGCAGCAGUAGGGAAUCUUCCGCAAUGGGCGAAAGCCUGACGGAGCAACGCCGCGUGAGUGAUGAAGGUCUUCGGAUCGUAAAACUCUGUUAUUAGGGAAGCGGUACCUAAUCAGAAAGCCACGGCUAACUACGUGCCAGCAGCCGCGGUAAUUC
rnacentral:rRNA from 1 species